rnacentral:rRNA from 2 species
UACGGAGGGGGCUAGCGUUGUUCGGAAUUACUGGGCGUAAAGCGUGCGUAGACGGCUAUCUAAGUCGGGUGUGAAAGCCCCGGGCUCAACCUGGGAAUUGCAUUCGAGACUGAAUAGCUAGGGUGCGGUAGAGGGAAGCGGAAUUUCCGGUGUAGCGGUGAAAUGCGUAGAUAUCGGAAGGAACAUCAGUGGCGAAAGCGGCUUCCUGGACCAGCACCGACGUUCAGGCACGAAAGCGUGGGGAGCAAACAGG